UAUAUAUACUGAUGUACAAAAGAAAGUACACACCUGGUGUUUUGAGAGUAUUAAAACAACGUAAAUAUUUUUCUAGCAA